UACGUAGGGUGCAAGCGUUGUUCGGAAUUACUGGGCGUAAAGCGCGCGUAGGCGGGCUUGAAAGUUGAUUGUGAAAGCCCUGGGCUCAACCCGGGAAUGGCAGUCAAAACUUCAAGUCUUGAGUGCCUGAGAGGAUGGCGGAAUUCCCGGUGUAGUAGUGAAAUACGUAGAUAUCGGGAAGAACACCUGAGGCGAAGGCGGCUAUCUGGCGGUGCACUGACGCUGAGGCGCGAAGGCCAGGGGAGCAAACGGG
rnacentral:rRNA from 1 species